rnacentral:rRNA from 1 species
CCUACGGGUGGCUGCAGUGGGGAAUAUUGGACAAUGGGGGCAACCCUGAUCCAGCCAUGCCGCGUGAGUGAUGAAGGCCUUCGGGUUGUAAAGCUCUUUUGGCGGGGACGAUGAUGACGGUACCCGCAGAAUAAGCCCCGGCUACCUUCGUGCCAGCAGCCGCGGUAAGACGAAGGGGGCAAGAGUUGUUCGGAAUUACUGGGCGUAAAGCGAGUGUAGGUGGUUGUCAUAGUCAGGUGUGAAAGCCUUGAGCUCAACUCAAGAAAUGCACUUGAUACUGGGCGACUAGAGGACCGGAGAGGAUAGUGGAAUUCCCAGUGUAGUGGUGAAAUACGUAGAGAUUGGGAAGAACACCAGUGGCGAAGGCGGCUAUCUGGACGGUUUCUGACACUAAGACUCGAAAGCGUGGGGAGCAAACAGGAUUAGAUACCCUUGUAGUC